rnacentral:rRNA from 1 species
UGGGGAAUAUUGCGCAAUGGGCGAAAGCCUGACGCAGCGACGCCGCGUGGGUGAUGAAGGCCUUCGGGUCGUAAAGCCCUGUCGGGAGGGACGAAAUCUUGCCGACCCAAUACGUCGGCAACUUGACGGUACCUCCUAAGGAAGCACCGGCUAACUCCGUGCCAGCAGCCGCGGUAAUACGGAGGGUGCAAGCGUUGUUCGGAAUCACUGGGCGUAAAGCGCGUGUAGGCGGUCAUUUAAGUCUGGUGUGAAAGCCCUGGGCUCACCCCAGGAAGUGCACUGGAUACUGGGUGGCUGGAGUACCGGAGAGGAGGGUGGAAUUCCUGGUGUAGCGGUGAAAUGCGUAGAUAUCAGGAGGAACACCGGUGGCGAAGGCGUCCCUCUGGCCGGAUACUGACGCUGAGACGCGAAAGCGUGGGAAGCAAACAGGAUUAGAUACCCUGGUAGUCCACGCCAUAAACGAUGGGCACUAGGUGUUCGGGGUAUUGACCCCCUGAGUGCCGCAGCUAGCGCAUUAAGUGCCCCGCCUGGGGACUACGGCCGCAAGGUUA